rnacentral:rRNA from 1 species
AUUGAACGCUGGCGGCAGGCCUAACACAUGCAAGUCGAGCGGUAACAGGGGAAGCUUGCUUCCCGCUGACGAGCGGCGGACGGGUGAGUAAUGUAUGGGGAUCUGCCCGAUAGAGGGGGAUAACUACUGGAAACGGUGGCUAAUACCGCAUAAUCUCUAAGGAGCAAAGCAGGGGACCUUCGGGCCUUGCGCUAUCGGAUGAACCCAUAUGGGAUUAGCUAGUAGGUGGGGUAAUGGCUCACCUAGGCGACGAUCCCUAGCUGGUCUGAGAGGAUGAUCAGCCACACUGGGACUGAGACACGGCCCAGACUCCUACGGGAGGCAGCAGUGGGGAAUAUUGCACAAUGGGCGCAAGCCUGAUGCAGCCAUGCCGCGUGUAUGAAGAAGGCCCUAGGGUUGUAAAGUACUUUCAGUCGGGAGGAAGGCGUUGAUGCUAAUAUCAUCAACGAUUGACGUUACCGACAGAAGAAGCACCGGCUAACUCCGUGCCAGCCGCCGCCGUAACAC